GGCGGCAGGGCUGAGGGGCCCUGGGGCCCGGCCGAGCGCCGCCGGGGGCCCGUCGGUCAGCAGCGAGGCGGCGCGGCGUCGGGUGGGCCAACGGGGCCCGCGGGGCGAGCGCGGACACGGACGGCGUCGGCCUCAGCCGCCACCCAGCAGCCUGCGGCCCCGAGGCGCAGGCGCAGCCCCAAGGCACAGGCGCAGGAAGGCGGCCCCAGGGCGCAGACGCGGGCGCAGGGGGCCGCGGCGGGGGCGCGGGGGGGCUACCCCAGGGCGCAGGCGCGGGCUCGGGACAGCAGCCCCUGGGAGCAGCGCGGGGCACGCGGGGCCGCACAGGGCCGCGGCCGCAGGACCCCUCGGCCCUCAGUGUCCGGGAGAGCACGCGCAGAGGUGGGAAGCGUCCCGCGAGCUGUGGCCGCGGACGGAGAGAACGACCCUGACCGCGAACCGUACGGGCUCUGCUGCGGGGCGGAGGAGCCUGCUCUGGGCGUGCGAGGCUGCGACGGCCACACAGCCGUUGGCGUCCACGGGACAGCUUACGGAACGCUCGGAGUUUUAGGCCUUAAAAGGAUGAGCUUCAUAGGUUACCGGAUCUCCGCGUUUACAAGAUUCGACCAUGAAGAAACGAUCCGAUUAGAAAACGGCACAAGGCACGAAGAGAUGCGGCAACGUGGGGAACGCGGGGCGGCGGGUGGAGACACAGAGCCAGGCCGCGAAGGAGCGCGCCCACCACGACGGGGCUUCUCCGGACCCCUGGGGGCGACAGCAAACACCGCUGCUGGGGAAGGGGAAGAGGAGGAGGAGGAGGAGGAGGAGGAGGAGGAGGAGGAGCCGGCCGCUGUGCCCGCUGCUGGGAAUGUGGGACGGGACCGCGCUCCGGAGGAGCCUGGCAGGGUCGCAGAAAACGAAGCGUGCAACUCACCUGUGACCCCAACGGCCUUGCCGGGAAGUCCCGUCCACGGCAAAGCCGGUGUGGGGCGUGGAUGGCAGCCUCGUUCAGGACGGGCCCAGGCGACCCGGGCGUCCGUCAAGGAGCUGCCGCAGCAGACUGUGGCCACUUCCCGGAAUAGCUCUCCGCCGUGA
rnacentral:lncRNA from 1 species